CUCUCUGUUGGCAUCGUUUACAUUAAUGACGCAUUCACUCUCUGCUACGCUACAAUUAUUAGAAAGUAUUCUUAAAUAACGUUAGUACUUGACUUACGCUUUCAUAUUAUGAAAACGAUUUUCUCAUUAAAUUAUUGAUCAAAUGGACCUUUAUUUCUAUAUCAUUGAAUUUACAUCGAUUGCACCAUCAAUUUGCAUCGCACAUCGAUUGUAGAAGAAGGUUAUGUGAUUUCAUUGAAUAAGGAGCUAAAGGAAUGUUUAAGUAAAAAAAAAAAAAAAAAAUAAAAAAUAAAAAAAAUGUACGGAAAUCUGUUCUACAGAACUUAUACUGUUAUUUCAAAUGUUGCAAAAGAGGUUAGGAUUAACAGGAUCACUCAAUACAUCAACGAUAGAAAUGUCUGCAAUUUCAUGUUUCUAAAAAACAAAGGCAAAGUAAAAUCUGAUGAAGUGUAUUCAAAUAAAAUAGUUGAAGGGAGAAUAAACAUUAAUUGAAAAUAUCACUAAAAGAAAUGAAAAGAAUUAAUUUCUAGAGUUCAAUAAUUUCCUGUAGAAAUUGUAAAAAUCAUAAACAAUGUUUUACAUGAAAUAAUUACAAGGAUAAUGAAUUGAAUGGAAAUAUGACUUAGAUCAAGGAAGGAGCUGUUUGAGAUAUCACUUUUUUUGACAUUAAGACUUUCAAGGAUUAUCCUCUCAGAACAAUACCAUUGAUUAACUUUCAGAAUAUUAUGGUCAAGCUAGAAGAUACAAUGCAUAUAACUUAGAUGUUAUAAAAAAAAAAAGAAAGAUGUAUGUACAACAAUCUUCUAUAUAAUAUCAAAUUGAUUAUUAGUCACAUCAAGACUUUUCUUUGAUGUAAUUAUGAAAUGGCUAGAGCAGAGCUUUAUCUAUAAGAAUUCUUUACUUGAUUGUAAAGCAAAGAUUUGACAAAUUCAGAUCUAAUGAAGAAAUGUCUCAUAGAAUAAACAUAAUGUAAAUUAAUCAUUCAAUGACAUUGCAUGAACAAAAGUAUCAAAAAAUGUAUUUGUAUAGAUCCAUACAUUGAAACUUGUAUGUAUGUGAUUGCUAUGGUCAUAUUUAAUGUUGAUAAUGCAAGCAAAAUGGAAGAGCUAGAAGGUAAAACAAGCUAUACUGAAAAACCUGGAUAAGAAACAAGCUGAUAAAGUAAUAUAAGCCUAAAUAUUGUCUAGAGACAAUAUCUUUGUAAUAAUGAAAGAAAAUUCAUUUGGAUAAUACAGAAGUAUUAAUAUUACACCAAUGGAUGGUACUAAUUGGUAUUUUUAUGAACAAAUUGAUUUUGAAAAAUAGCAACGAUGGAAGUAUCAUUGAAAGAGAACGAACAAGAAGAAGCCUUUGAGAAUAUCAACAAUCUCUCAUCCGUUCAAGAGUUUUAUUAUGGUCAAAGGAAUAUUCAUAAU